rnacentral:tRNA from 1 species
GCCUUAGUGGCGUAGUGGUCACGCUCGGCGCGUAUUCAAGAGGUCCGUGGUUCGAGUCCCGGCGAGGGCA